rnacentral:rRNA from 1 species
UGAGCAACCUGCCCUUAGCUUUGGGAUAGCCCUCGGAAACGGGGGCUAAUACCGGAUAUGACGGCUCACCGCAUGGUGUGGCUGUGGAAAGUUUUUCGGUCUGGGAUGGGCUCGCGGCCUAUCAGCUAGUUGGUGGGGUGAUGGCCCACCAAGGCGACGACGGGUAGCCGGCCUGAGAGGGUGACCGGCCACAUUGGAACUGAGACACGGUCCAGACUCCUACGGGAGGCAG